rnacentral:rRNA from 1 species
AACGUAGGAGGCGAGCGUUAUCCGGAUUUACUGGGCGUAAAGCGCACGCAGGCGGCCGGGUGAGUCGGACGUGAAAGCUCCUGGCUUAACUGGGAGAGGUCGUUCGAUACUGCCCGGCUUGAGGUUGGGAGAGGGGUGCGGAAUUCCCGGUGUAGUGGUGGAAUGCGUAGAUAUCGGGAGGAACACCAGUGGCGAAGGCGGCACCCUGGCCCACACCUGACGCUGAGGUGCGAAAGCGUGGGUAGCAAACAGG